rnacentral:rRNA from 1 species
AUAGAUUAAGUUAUUAAGGGCGCACGGUGGAUGCCUUGGCACUAGAAGCCGACGAAGGACGUUACUAACGACGAUAUGCUUUGGGUAGCUGUAAGUAAGCGUUGAUCCAGAGAUUUCCGAAUGGGGGAACCCAGCACGAGUUAUGUCGUGUUAUCGACAAGUGAAUUCAUAGCUUGUCAGAAGGCAGACCCGGAGAACUGAAACAUCUUAGUACCCGGAGGAAGAGAAAGAAAAAUCGAUUCCCUGAGUAGCGGCGAGCGAAACGGGAAGAGCCCAAACCAAUAAGCUUGCUUAUUGGGGUUGUAGGACACUCUAUACGGAGUUA